UUAGUCCUUUAAUAUGCAAAUACGCGUCUCCAUGAUGUUCCCAACACAUAGUGUUAUCUGGAGGUGGCCAUGAACUUGGUACACGUGCUGGCAAGGAGAAGACAGCGGGAACUGCCUUAUUGAGUGACCCAGUUUCUAAUGGCCGGCAUUUGCAUCUCAAAGCUUGCCAGUCCGGCCCUUUAAGCUGCCUUUUCUUUUAGAAAAGAGAUGGUUCCGGUGUUUUUUAUUACAGGGAAAUUUACACCGAGAACCUUUACCUUUACUAUCUGCCUAAAAAUUAUUUCUGAAUAACUCUUGUAUCACAGGGUCUUGGCCUUUGGAGCCAGCAGGGCUGAGGUUCCAUGGAGCUGGGAGUGAGGCCUAGCCUGGGACCCCCGCCUGGGCUCUAUGCCUGGCCCCCGCUCACUUUUCUGGAGCCCUUGGCUGGGGCAUUGGGAGACACAGUCAGCAAUCCUUUAAAUUCCCGUUUUCCUGCAUGUGUCCCUCCUUGGCAACGGGGCAGGAGAAACAAUCCCACGUUGGAACCUGGCCCUUUGCCUCCUUGCAUGGAAUAUGAACAUUGCUCCGGAAUCCACAGUGAUCAAAGGUACAGGAGAAAGACGGACCAGGAGCCAUCCCUCUGCCCACCUGAGACAAAUGCCUAUCAGUGCAGAUCCACCGGGCUGCUUAAGACCCCAUCAUAUGUGUGAACCACCACGUGCUAAUCCAUCCACCCCCCGCUCACCCACCCAUCCACCCACCCAGGAACACACGGCUGCUUCCACCUUUGGCUGUUGGACACGGGGCUGCGGUGAACAUGGGUGGACAGAUAUCCUUCGAGUCUCUGCUUUCACUGCUUUUGGGUCUACGCGCAGUAGUGGAAUUGCUGAGUCAAGUUGUCAUUCUACAUUGAAAUUUUUGAGGAGCCACCAUCUUGUCUUAUGCACCAUCCCGCAGCCUGUGUAGCCCAACCUCUAGGCUUCCUCUGCGUGGACACUAAGAAGCUUAACACCAUCAGGAACGUGCAGCGCUCAGCGUGGGUUUUAACUUGUCUCAGUUUAAUGAGGAUUACCUUAAUUCAAUACCAGUUCUGACUGCACAAGGGGGCCUGCCCUCUUCCAUUCUCUCUGGCACGGAGACCCAGCAGCUGGGUCCUGGCUUCUCCAGCCCCAAAAGGCCUGAGCCCCCGCCCUGGCCCAUUCCCUGGUGCGGUGGCUAAGGAGGGCAGGUGGAUGAGCUGCACCACUGGGCCCCAGUCAGGGCCUCCACCCCAGAAUGUCUCGGGGCGGGGCCUCCACUCUUGGCACAGUCAUCUGCACUUUAUCGAUGCCAAAGAGAAGCCACCAGGCUCAGCAAAUGCCCUGCCUGCCUUUCACACGGGAUCCCUGAGUGACACCUGUGCUGGGAGCAAACCCUCCUCUGAGACGGCGACACCAUCAAUCCUCAGCCUUUUAGUUCAGGAAAAUAUGUUCUUAAGGGAUCCCCUCCCCAGGUGUCCAACGGGGGCUGCAGAGCAGCACCAAGGACUGUGUGUCCAUGGGCAGUGUGGACGGUGGAAGCAUCCUAAACUCCCAAAGGAUGCCUGGGGUGAGGCGAGCCCUGAGGGGUGAGGGAGAAGGGAGCAUGGUCAGCUUCUCUACCUCUUUUCCGUGCAUCCUCUGCAGGCAGCUCUUGAAGGCAGGAGCUGAAGGCUUAGUGCUUUGCAGGACCAGCUGUGAUGGUCACUGGCAGACAGCACCAAGUGACCUGCGCACAGGACUGAGGGAGGCCACUGGGCAGGGCUGAGGGCAUCCUACGAGGGCCACCUGCACAGGGGGUCCCUCACAGACACCUCGGGCCUUAGAGUCCCAGUAGGAGAGUCUUCCAAAGAAGUGAGGGGAGACGCCAGAGGUGACGGUCAGGAUAUGCACACCACGUGAGCCGCCACCACGGAGUGCACCUGCCAUUCUGCGGGAAGGGUGGCCGGUGCCCCAAGUGGGCUCCUCCCUGGCCACAUGUCCCUCUGUUUCCCCAUCUGAAAAAUGGGCAAGACGACAACGGCCCCUUCCUCACAGGGUUGCGGGGGGAUUAUCCGGAAAGCACAUGCUGCCACUUGUAACGAGUGAAGGGGCCAACACACCGCAAGCCGGGCGCCUCCAGCCAGCUUCCCUUCUGCAGGAAAUUCACAGGACAUGAGACAAGGGCAUCAACCCCAUCUCUCUCCUGCUUCCCAAGGGUUGCUCUUCCUGAAUGCCUGUUAUAAGAUCGGCGAGUCCCCUCAAUCACAGAAAGAGUAAGAGACCGUGGACCCCACGGGGCCGGUUCUCUGCUUUGUAGUCUUGCAGCGGAUAGCAGUGCUAAACCUCACACCGUGGAGCGGCUGAAAUACGUGGGCGCUGAAGCCAGGAAGAGGCCGAUCUGUUCCUGGGAUUCCUGGACUCAGCAGGGCGGGGAAGGGACCACAGCAGAAGUCCCUUCCCACCCUCCCCACCCCAUGGGCCCUGCUCGGGAGUGAAGGGGUCACCGAGCUGUUGGGGCCGUGCUGGCCCCCAGGCUGGCCGGGCUGUGGCCUCUGCUUGUGAGAUCUCAGAGAGUGUGUCAUUCACGUCACUGGGGGGUACAAAUCUGCAAUGGAUCGUGUCGUCCUUGAGGGCCUCCACCCCCAGAUCACAGCGAGAAGCAUGUUUGUUUAGUCCACUCACUCAGCUCACUGCAGCCAAAUCAUCUUCACCUGCUCGGGCAGCACGGGGUCCUCAGGUGGAAGCUCACCGUGUUCAGUUCCAUCUGAUGCAUGGGGAGGGGCUUCCGAAAGGCAGAGGAGUGGCAUGGACUUGCCGGGGUCUGGUGUCUCUGGUCUCCUGGCAACAUCUCGCCAGCCCUUAAGCUCACCUGGGCAUUCACGGCCAAGCACAACUGGAGGCCACGCGACCCAUUCCCUGGUCCAGCCUGGGCCUGAGCCCACGGAGCCACUGGCUGCAACCCCAUGCCGCUCAGAGCCUUGCCUCUCCUGCUCCUCCCCCGCAUCCUUUCUUCUCGCAGCAGCUUUUCCUCCCCACGCCACCACCAUGUGGCACCGAACCUGGUGGGAGAGUUCACAGCAUCGCUCUAUGCUUGUCUAAAGUCCUCUCAGUUCUGAAUCUCGAAUUCUGAAUCUGGAGUUACUACGUGUUUGGUUGCCAGCUGGCCCAGGGCAGGGGAACGCGUUCACGUGUUCUGGGGAGGAGACGGCGCCACUGCACUCAGCCACGUUAUGCAGAGUUCAUCUGGGGAAGGAGACAACUUUCUCCUCAGUCUGGGAGUUUUCUGGGGGAAAAAAAAGUUUUGUGCGUAUUGUUCUUUGUAUUGUAAUACAAUAGAAAGUCGAAUACCUUUUUAACAGCGUGAAAACGUCCGUCACGAUACUGCAGGUUGAUCUCUUGCCCUCUUCCUGCCUUUCGUUUGGGAUGGCUCUCAGGAAGUCACGGCCAGCUUCACGUCUUUGCGCUGGGUAAACACACGGGCUAUUUAUGUUGGCACCAGCAACCGUACCUGCCACAAGCUCAAGUGAUCUAAAGCCCUCUGGGUCUUCUGGGCACAAUGUACUAUUGACUCGAAAUUCUACCUAACAGCACAACCUGCCUAGGUAGGAAACAAAGCUCUAAAAGCCAAAUUCACAGGCACGGAUUGCUCAACUUCACGGACUGUUAUCUGGCCUGUACAUUAAAGAAAAGCUGGUGCCCUUGAGCAAUAGCAAGAACUUGAUCCGUUUAAAAAUCAAGCUGAAGAGUUUCAGUCAAUAAAUACGCUUUUAAACUAAAAAUUUAGUAAUAAAGCUUUUAUAAGAACGUGCCCGGCCUGGCGCGGUGGCUCAAGCCUGUAAUCCCAGCACUUUGGGAGGCCAAGAC